AUGCUCCGUACUUCGUCAAUCCACCAGCUGAAAAUCAGUUGUCAAAAUCAAAUUUUCGCACCUCUCUGAUACCGAACCUACGGUCUUCCUCAUCGUCUCUGCUUGCUUCGAAACCGCCGAUUAACAGAUCGUCAACUGCGUUCUCAUCUCCGCUUUGCUUCAGCUUAAAUUCGAAUAGAAUUGGAGAGCGCAGAAUUGCAUGCGAUUACCCCUGCUUCCAAAUGAAUAAAGGGUGUCACUUGUUGACCUCCGGGAACUGUGCUCACAUGUAAAAGAUGAUAGCAACCAGACACCUUUUAUUGUAAAAAAUGGAUGUGGUUCGUGUUGAAAUCAAUACAAUUGAUCGAGCAAGAACAAGCUAUACUUUGAGAGAACAAUAUUGAAGAAGGUUUGGAGAGAAUUGUAUAGAAUCUUUAUUGAACUCAAGAAGAAACAAAAUGGAUCACGCACUCUACUACUUAUACACAUCAAGAAAACAAAGGACAGGAACAGAAGCAUGUAGUAGAAAUUCUUGGCCACAUGGAUAGUGCUGAAGAGUCUGGUUUAAUUAAGAAGUCAUUUUUGAAAUUACCUGCUGAAGAGAGUGUGUCACACUAGACAGCUGUGUGCAAUUUAAAUUACUGUUAUGUUACAUGACAAAAAUAUUUUUUGGCUGCUAACUACAACCAUGCACUGCCCAUGCUCAAUGUAUAAAAGGUGCAUAUCCUUAGUUGCUGCUAUUGCCCUAUCUUUGAUUCCUUGUAUGAAAUUUAAUCAGAUUUCCUUAUAUAAAGUUACUACUUGAGAAUUGUUAUCUUCAGAGUUUGAUUAUAGAAGGUUCCCUCAGCUGACUGUGCUGUCUUGCUUGCAACUAGUGUUCUAUCAGAGUUCUCAAACUAAAUGCCCUAGUCUGCCCCUAGGAUAUGAUGUUAAACACUCUAUAUUCUUUUUUUCUUUCUAUAGUUGAUCUCAGUUAUUAGAUCUAUACCGAAUCAGAGUGGCAUAUUAUAUGCUUUACCUUAUUUUAAAUGGCAAUCUCUGAAGCUUGGAUUAUGACAAUUUGAUUUAAUCCCAUUACUGAGUGCUGAUGCUUUUGGACUUUUUUGCUUGUCCAUACUCUGACACCUUAUUGUGAAUGCUAUCUUACAAAUAUUAAUUGUUAUCAGGAAGUUGGGUAGUCAUAUCAUGUUGUGAUAUCAUUGUGGAAUAUCUGGCUUAAUGCUCUCUCUCCAACACUCACACACAAACACGAGCGCUUGUUGUGCUCGUAUGAACUACAUAUCAUGACAGGUUUGCUAUACCUCGUCCAUUCAAGUGUCGACCAUUUCUAGACACUCACCUCUGUCAUGUUGUGCCUGCUAAUAGAUGCUACUCACCCCAUUUCCCCUGCUCAGGGUAAUCCUAGUUAACGAGCCAGGUGUAUGACAUGUAGUUAGUCGAUAAUAUACCACGUAAUACGAAUCCCACAUCGGUUCCACGUGAAAGCGUGGAAUGUCAUAUAAAUGGGAGUCAACUAUUUACCUUCGACUAUGAUUUAGUUAUGGCUCCUUAGCUUGUAUGCUUAGUAGUUAUUACCACCAUGCAGGUUCCAUCUAGUUUGGAGCACAGUUGAAGCAGCAGCAACUUGUUGUGUUAUAGCUGGAUAGCGACUCCACGGGUAAGCAAACGAAAGUCGAUUCAUGUUGUUGCUCAACGUGUUUCUGUAUAGUAUACGUGUUAUAGGUCCAUUAUUGCAGUUAUGGAACUGGUGAGACAAAUAUUAGCUAAAAUAAUAAGGCAUGGGGGAUCCUCGUUUUGAGCUAAGCUACAAAAGGCUAAGAAACAGAAAAUGUUGCCUUUUUGGUUGGACAAGAAUGAGUAGGAGUAGGGGAGUAUGGGGUGAUGAACAAAUCCAUACGAACACUAGCCUCCACCAUAGCUGGGAUUGUGAACUCACUAGAACUUUACCGAGAGAAGAAGAGAGUGGCUGUGGUUCCCACAUUGUGUUGCUAGUAUGGAUAUUUUAUUAGAUUAUGAUGCACUUAACAUCUCUCUAGGUCUGAUUUAGCCUAUUUUUGUUGAGUUUGAGUUUAGUGAUCGUCUUCUUUUGUCGAACUUGAUAAGGAGUCAGUGUCUAAGCUGACCAGACCAGAUUGCUUUAUCGCACCGUGCUACACCUAGUUAUACAAGUACUGAAGUACCGCUAGCUACGAACACGCUCCAUCCCCGUAACAAGUGUUGUAUUUGAAAAUAAUAAUAAUAACUGCUCUAUUUCAAAAUUUUAUGGAAAAUUAAUGUCAAACUUUCCGUUUUAUAUGCAAAUCCUUUAUUAUUUUUUAUGGUACGAUAGCAUUUGCAUCUGUGAUGUGUCAACAUGGUACACAAAAAUUUAGACUUUUUAGUAUAACUGAAACUUUUAAUAAAAACAAUUCAGACUUGUCUUCACAAAAGAGGACAUGUAUUCGUGUGUAUCUGGAUCUAGCAAAUAUGACCAGUUUCUGAUAUUUGGAUUGAUAGGCUUAAACUGUCUCAUAAAGUGAAUAUAACUGAUUGCUGCUGGCUUUAUAUGCCAAGAAUUGCAUGACCAGCAACUGGCUCAAAAAUCAAAAUUGGUCAAAGCCCAUUGAUUGAUCUUGAACUUGAGACCUAAGGGCACCCGCAACGCUGUGCCGUUGCGGUUCCUAUGCCGUUCCGGCGGAACGGUUCCGCGGCGGCACGCGUUGCGGGGUGCGUUCCGUCGC